rnacentral:lncRNA from 1 species
ACUAAUUCUUUAGCCAAGAAGAAUUUUCAUAAUUACAACAUGAGCAAUAUAAAAAUACAUAUGUCAUGUGUGUUGCUUCGAUAGAUUACAACUGGUAUAGAGUAAGAAUACUAUUAUCGUUAUCAACAAAUUCGAACAUUUUAAGGGUCUUGUCAAUGAAGAAAAGAUAAAAAUAACUAACUCCAGCCUUUAUAUAUAUAUAUAUAU